rnacentral:rRNA from 1 species
AGCAGCCGCGGUAAUUCCAGCUCCAAUAGCGUAUAUUAAAGUUGUUGCAGUUAAAAAGCUCGUAGUUGAAUUUCGGGAUCAGUACGCUGGUCAUGCCUUUGGUAUGCACUGGUGUCACUGGUUUCUCCCUUCUGAAGAUCCGUGAUGUCAUUAAUUUGGUGUCGCGGGGAAUCAGGACUGUUACUUUGAAAAAUUAGAGUGUUUAAAGCAGGCUCACGCUUGAAUACAUUAGCAUGGAAUAAUGAAAUAGGACGUUUGACCCUAUUUUGUUGGUUUCUAGGAUCGACGUAAUGAUUAAUAGGGAUAGUUGGGGGCAUUAGUAUUCAAUUGUCAGAGGUGAAAUUCUUGGAUUUAUUGAAGACUAACUACUGCGAAAGCAUUUGCCAAGGAUGUUUCAUUAAUCAAGAACGAAAGUUAGGGAUCGAAGACGAUCAGAUACCGUCGUAGUCUUAACCAUAAACUAUAGCCGACUAGGGAUCGGAUGAUGUUAAUUUAUAAUGACUCUA